rnacentral:rRNA from 1 species
GCGAGCUAAUUGCAUUUACUUAAAAUUAAAUUUUAAGAGAGUGUCCCUUUUUAUUUAUAAAAAAUUGGAUGGCUUUUAAGAGAGUGGUCCCUUAUUUUUUUUUUUUAAAAAAUUUAAAAGCCUUUUAAAGAGGGAGGGUCCAUUUUUUAUGUAGUUACUAUUUUGUAGUUUAAAAUUCUAGAUAGAAUUAUGAUGAUGACAUUAUCUAUCUAUUAGUCUUGACCAAAUUACGUGCCAGCAGUCGCGGUAACACGUAAAAGACAAGUGUUAUUCAUCUUUAUUGGGUUUAAAGAGUACCAAGACGGUUAAUAAAGCCCAAAAAACGUGAAUACCAUGGGGGACACAUUAACUAGAGUUAUAUGAAAGGAAGCUCUUAAGUACUGUUGAGUGUAGAGAUAAAAUCCUGUCAUACCAGAUAAAGGCACAGAUUUAUGCGAAGGCAUCUUCUUAUGUAAUAACUGACGUUGUAGGACGAAGGCUUUUUUAGUGAAGAGGAUUAGAGACCCUUGUAAUCUAAGCAGAAAAUGAUGAAUGUCAUAGGUUUAAUAUAUUAUUGGGUCUAUAAAUGAAAGUGUAAGCAUUCCACCUCAAGAGUAAUUUGGCAACAUUGGAACUGAAAUCAUUAGACCGUUUCUGAAACCAGUAGUGAAGUAUGUUGUUUAAUUAGAUGAUACACAAAAAACCUUACCACAAUUUGAAUAUAUAUCUUUAAAGAUAUUUACAAGCGUUGCACGGCUGUCUUCAGUUAAUGUCGUGAGAUUUUGGUUAGUUCCAUAAAAUUAACGUAAACCCUCGUUUUAUUUAGAAAUAAAAUUUAGAUCUGUUUCAAU